UGUGUGUGAAAAGCCUCGUUCCGCCAAAACCAAGGUUUGCAUGUUUGUAUUUAACCUGGCCCUGAUUCCAGUCCAGGCUUCCCGGCUUCCCUGCUUGAGGCGAUUAGGACGUGUCAGAUGUGAAAUAAAUAAAUGAAUAAAUAAAUAAACAACCAAACAAACACUCCGGCUCACUGUCUGGUGUGUGCUUGGCUGGUAGGGUAACCUAGUUUUCUGAUUGAUUCCAAACUGCCCCCUCCUGCCCCCCAAUCUGCAAUCAGGAUAAAAGCUGCAGAGGAUGUCAGCCUCUCAACACCAUCAGCAUCUGUUCUUGCAGUUUAGCACCUCUCCGGGACACCUAGGCCUUCAACCAGGGCAAUUUACUGCUCAUUUCAAGCAGGCCCUGCAAUGGCAGCGGAUGGAGGAGUCUUCCCUGGGCUUCGAAUCAAUUUUGUCAUUAUAAUUAGCAAAUAGGUGAAAAUGGUUGGUAGCAGAGCUGGGCUUUCUAGUUUCAAUUCACUGCACACAAAUAACUGGAAUCCGCUGUCUCAGGGGCUUGCACACCAUGCAAUGUUCUGGACACCAGAAGGAAUAUUGCUGGGCUCACUACUGAGGACUGGUCUAUGCUACAGUUAGGUCGAUGCUGCAGUGUUGCUCCCGGCGAUGUAAGUUGCCCACUACAACUACCCUGACUUAAUAACUGCACCUCCGUGAGAGGCGUAGCGCUUAGGGCGACGUAGUUAAGGCUGACACUGCGUUACUUACGUCAGCUUUAGUGGCCUCCAGGAGGUGUCCCACAAUGCCCUACCGUGACCACUCUGGUCGCCGUUUUGAACUCUGCUGCCCAGCGGCCAGGUAUGCAGGUACACACCCCUCCCCUUUUAAAACCCCGUGAAUUUUUGAAGUUCCAUGUCCUGUUUGCUUGGCAUGAAGAGCUCACCUAGCAACUGCCCAGCUGACCACGCCAGUUCUGUACUGUAGACUCACUCCCGCCUGGCGUACACAGGAGGUGGUGGAUCUCCUGAGUCUGUGGAGAGAAGAGGCUGUGUGGGCACGGCUCAAAUCCAGCCGUAGAAACAUUGAUAUCUACGAGCAGAUCACUUGGGGCAUGAGGGAGAAAGGCUACAAGAGGGACCCACAGCAGUGCCGUGUGAAAGCCAAGGAGCUGCGGCAGACAUACCAGUAGGCAAGGGAGGCUAACAGUCGCUAUAGCGUGGAGCCGCAGACACGCUGCUUUUACAAAGGGCUGCAUACCAUCUGGUGGAGACCCCACCCUCACCCCCAUAGGUCCCUUGGAUACUUUGGGGGAGCUGGAGUCACAGGUCCCAGAGUGAACAGUGAGGAGCAGGUAUUGGAGGAGAAGGAGGAGGAAUAUGGGGGACAGGUGACUGGGGAAUCCAGUGAUGCAGCAAGCCAGGACCUGUUUUUGACUCCAGAGCAGUCGAGCCAGUCCCUACAGUCCAGCAUGGUGAGCCUGAUGCAGGGGAAGGAACCUCUGCUGGAAUGUGGCCUUGAGGAUCUCUCCACUCACACCAGUGGAGCAGCUCAGCCAGAUAAGGAGAAGGAAAAGGACACAACAUGACAUGAUCCAAGAGAUCCUACAAUCCUCUGGUGCUUCGGAUACCGAGCACAGGGAUUAGAGGAUCAUCCUCGCAGACCGAAUGGACAGGGAUCGAGCGCAGAGGAGAAAAGCACAGGAAAAGGAGAGAGAUGUGCAGUGGGAGAUGCAAGCAUGUUGGAGACUCUUGUUGACCUUCAAGUUCAACAGGACUCCCUCUGCAGCCCAUAGAAAACUGCAUUUUGGGACACCCCCCCCCCCCACACACCCACAUUCCACCUGGCUUCCAGGGCUGCUGCACUACCCCUACCACUCCACCCCGGAGGAGAGUAAAUCACAGCCGCACAUACACUGACCUGUGGGGGACACAGUUGGUGUACGUGUGUUUGAAAUGAGAAUGACUGUUCUUUCCCCUUCCAAGGUUCUUUCCCCUGUAUUUAUAAAGUUCCAUUCAGUUACAAAUAUGUCUGUUCACAUGGGUUUGGAAUAAAAGUCUAUUUAUGGAAA